AACGAACGCUGGCGGCGGGCCUAACACAUGCAAGUCGAGCGAGGACUUCGGUUCUAUCGGCGGACGGCUGGGUAACGCGUGGGAAUGUACCCUUCUCUACGGAAUCCCCCUCUUAAACUUGGCUUAAUACCGCAUACGCUCUUAUGGGGAAAGAUCUAUUGGGGAAGGAUCGGGCCGCGUUGGAUUCGGUGGUUGGGGGGGUAAUGGCCGACCAAGCAGAGGAUGCCUAGCUGGUUGGAGAGGAUGAUCAUCCACACUGGGACUGAGACACGGCCCAGACUCCUACGGGAGGGAGCAGUGGGGAACCUUAGACGAUGGGGGCAAACGUGAUAUAGCCGUGCCGGGGGAGUGAUGAAGGCGUUAGGGUUGUAAAGCUCUUUGAGCUGGGAAGAUAAUGACGGUACCAGCUGAAGAAGCCCCGGCUAACUCCGUG
rnacentral:rRNA from 1 species